rnacentral:lncRNA from 1 species
AAGGAUGAAAAUGUCAUAAAUUUGGUCACCAGAUGCACUUUUACUCCCAAAAAAGAUGAAGAAAACGUACUAUCAGGAUGUAGUUAUCACAUCAUUCUGAUGCAUCCAACUCUUUCCCUGAAAUCCCUUCUGAACCAAUAGACCAACUCCAGUUUGAUUGAAAUAAGCCUUGUAUGUUGAUAGCUCUCCAGUGUCAGCUUCCAUGCUUCCCCCCUCCUCCUCCUCCUCCUCCUCCUCCUCCUCCGCCCUCCAAUUUCUUCUUCCUCCAUAUCACACUUUGCAGGCCUGCUACUAGCCAUUUUCAGUUCAGCAAUCAGCAUGCUACACCAAAGGAAAAAAAAAAGUUUUGGUAAUUGAUUUACUAAAUAUAUAUCAAGAAUGCAGAUUAAAAAAAUAUCAAAACUGCCUUGAAGAUGAACAAGCUAAAUUGUUACCUUCCUUUCUGCAGUCUGGGCAAGAGAAGAUCAAAAACUUAUGUUUGAGAAACUUGGGGAGAACCAAC